AAUAUUGCACAAUGGGCGCAAGCCUGAUGCAGCCAUGCCGCGUGUAUGAAGAAGGCCUUCGGGUUGUAAAGUACUUUCAGCAGUGAGGAAGGCGGAUGCGUUAAUAGCGUAUUCGUUUGACGUUAGCUGCAGAAGAAGCACCGGCUAACUCCGUGCCAGCAGCCGCGGUAAUACGGAGGGUGCGAGCGUUAAUCGGAAUUACUGGGCGUAAAGCGCAUGCAGGUGGUGUGUUAAGUCAGAUGUGAAAGCCCGGGGCUCAACCUCGGAAUAGCAUUUGAAACUGGCACACUAGAGUACUGUAGAGGGGGGUAGAAUUUCAGGUGUAGCGGUGAAAAUGCGUAGAGAUCUGAAGGAAUACCGGUGGCGAAGGCGGCCCCCUGGACAGAUACUGACACUCAGAUGCGAAAGCGUGGGGAGCAAACAGGAUUAGAUACCCCUGGUAG
rnacentral:rRNA from 1 species